GAUGAAGAACGCAGCGAAAUGUGAUACGUAAUGUGAAUUGCAGAAUUCAGUGAAUCAUCGAAUCUUUGAACGCACAUUGCGCCCGCCAGUAUUCUGGCGGGCAUGCCUGUUCGAGCGUCAUUACAACCCUCAGGCCCCCGGGCCUGGCGUUGGGGAUCGGCGGAAGCCCCCUGUGGGCACACGCCGUCCCUCAAAUACAGUGGCGGUCCCGCCGCAGCUUCCAUUGCGUAGUAGCUAACACCUCGCAACUGGAGAGCGGCGCGGCCAUGCCGUAAAACACCCAACUUCUGAAUGUUGACCUCGAAUCAGGUAGGAAUACCCGCUGAACUUAAGCAUAUAAUAAGCGGAGGA
rnacentral:misc_RNA from 1 species